rnacentral:rRNA from 1 species
UUAAUAUUAGUUAUGAAAUAUAUUUCAAGAAAUUUUAUAUCUAGUUUUUUAAGAGUAAAAGUUUAAUAGAAUAAUUUUUAUAAAAAUUAAUAUGGUUUAGCUUAUUAAUUUUAUAUACUGAUAGAAUUUUUUAACCUUAGUAAAUUUGAUAGUGUUUAUUUUAUAAAUUUAUAAUGGAGGGUAAUAUGAAUAAAAAUUUUUAUUUGUUAUUUUUUUAUUAAAAAAUUUAUUUAAAUUUUAGAGUUUUAUUUAUAAUGAAAAAAUUAGUAAAAAUUUAUUUAUAUUAAAAAAUAAUUAAUAAUUUAUAAUUGUUAUAAUUAUUAUAAAAAAUGAAUUCGGCAAAAAGUAUUAUUUGACUGUUUAGCAAAAACAUUGUUUCAUGAAGAAUAUAUGAAAUAAUGUCUGUCCACUGAUAUAUUUGAAGGACUGCAGUAUAUUGACUGUAUAAAAGUAGCAUAAUCAUUAGCUUUUUAUUUUGGGGUUGGUAUGAAGGCGAAACGGAUAAGUUCUUUAUUUUUUAUAAGUGUUUAAGUUUAUUUUUAAGUGAAAAAUCUUAAUUAGAUGAAAGGGACCAGAAGACCCCAAUAAGAUUUAUUUUUCUUUUAUUUAUGUUAUAGGAAAAUUUAAUUAUGAUAAUAUUAAAUUAGAAAUUUGGUUGGGGCGAUUAGUUAUAAAACAUAAUUUAUUUAUAAUUUUU